rnacentral:rRNA from 1 species
UACGUAGGGUGCGAGCGUUAAUCGGAAUUACUGGGCGUAAAGCGUGCGCAGGCGGUUCGCCAAGUCAGGUGUGAAAUCCCCGGGCUUAACCUGGGAAUUGCGCUUGAAACUAGCGGGCUUGAGUGUGGCAGAGGGGGGGUGGGAAUUCCACGUGUAGCAGUGAAAUGCGUAGAGAUGUGGAGGAACACCGAUGGCGGAAGGCAGCCCCCUGGGUCAACACUGACGCUCAUGCACGAAAGCGUGGGGAGCAAACAGG